GACGAACGCUCGCGGCGUGCUUAACACAUGCAAGUCGAACGGAAAGGCCUGUCCUUCCUUGUGUUGGACGGGUACUCGAGUGGCGAACGGGUGAGUAACACGUGAGUGAUCUGCCCCCAACUUGGGUAUAAGCCUGGGAAACUGGGUCUAAUUCCCGAUAGGACUGCAGGGUGGUGCCUGUGGUGGAAAACGAUUUUCUAGUGGUUGGGGAUGAGCUCGCGGCCUAUCAGCUUGUUGGUGGGGUAAUGGCCUACCAAGGCGGCGACGGGUAGCCGGCCUGAGAGGGUGGACGGCCACAUUGGGACUGAGAUACGGCCCAGACUCCUACGGGAGGCAGCAGUGGGGAAUAUUGCACAAUGGGCGGAAGCCUGAUGCAGCGACGCCGCGUGGGGGAUGACGGCCUUCGGGUUGUAAACUCCUUUCGACCGCGAGGAAGCCGCCUGGUUGGAAGGGUGGUGACGGUAGUGGUAGAAGAAGCACCGGCUAACUACGUG
rnacentral:rRNA from 1 species